rnacentral:rRNA from 1 species
GUAGGUGGCAAGCGUUGUCCGGAAUUAUUGGGCGUAAAGCGCGCGCAGGUGGUCUUUAAGUCUGAUGUGAAAGACCCCCGGGCUCAACCCGGGGAGGGUCAUUGGAAACUGGGGAACUUGAGUGCAGGAGAGGAAAGUGGAAUUCCACGUGUAGCGGUGAAAUGCGUGGAUAUGUGGAGGAACACCAGUGGCGAAGGCGACUUUCUGGCCUGUAACUGACACUGAGGCGCGAAAGCGCGGGGAGCAAACAGGAUUAGAUACCCUGGUAGUCCACGCCGUAAACGAUGAGUGCUAAGUGUGGGGGGUUUCCGCCCCUCAGUGCUGCAGCUAACGCAUUAAGCACUCCGCCUGGGGAGUACGGUCGCAAAGACUG